UACGUAGGGUGCAAGCGUUGUCCGGAAUUAUUGGGCGUAAAGAGCUCGUAGGCGGUUUGUCGCGUCUGCUGUGAAAACUCGGGGCUUAACCCCGGGCCUGCAGUGGGUACGGGCAGACUAGAGUGCGGUAGGGGAGACUGGAAUUCCUGGUGUAGCGGUGAAAUGCGCAGAUAUCAGGAGGAACACCGGUGGCGAAGGCGGGUCUCUGGGCCGUAACUGACGCUGAGGCGCGAAAGCCAGGGGAGCAAACGGG
rnacentral:rRNA from 1 species